UCUGCACACCAGCUCCCAGCCCAGCCAAUGUGGCCACGGAAGGGAGACCCUCAGAUUCGUGGACUCAUCCAAGUUCCCUGAGGCUCAGCCAAGACCCCAAGCCAGGAGCUGAUGAAGGCCAGGCUUGUCCACCACCAUCCCCGCACUAAGUAAGAGGAUCAAAAAUGAACACUGGACAACUCUAUCAAAGGAGUAACUACAUGGACAAGUGACCUCUCAACAAUGCUGUGCUAUACAUAUGGCUUGCAGGGAACCCCAUGUCCUCACUGGCCAUGCUCUCCAUGGAGCUGCGGAGCCGGAGUGGCGCCAAGGAGAAGGGAUCCACAGAACCAGGAUAGGGGCCGCUCACCGCAGCUCGCCAAGCCCAGCAGCAGCAGCACCAACAGGGGCCACAUCGUGCCAGCGAAG